rnacentral:lncRNA from 1 species
AUCUAAUUAUCUUCUGGAAGUUAUUCUGCAUCUCCCAGGCAAAUUAUACACUUUUUAUAUGAUUUCGGAGUUUUUCCUAAAAGGGUAAAAAAUUUCAAUUUAGGGAACUCAAUUAUAACUAAUAGGGUAAAAUUUCAGCACAAGACAAACAGCAUUCAUGGUGCAAUAAAUAUUUUAAAUAAAUAUAUGCGUGAAAUCUAUGUGUAAAAUCAACUUGGAAUUAAGAAAGCAUAUGGAUAAUUGCCUCUACCACAGGGAUGGAAAUCUUGCGUAUGAUGAAGAUCUCCAGAAAUAGUGCAUGAUCUCCCCUGGAAAGAAUCUCAAAAUUUAUAUCCUCAUUUCUGUGGAAUUUCUCUGUUAGAUCUAAUUUAAAUCUGAAAUCUUUAAUGUCUGACCAUGUAGCAAUACCAUGUUCAAAUGCAACUUAAUACACUUGUCCACUUUGAAGCUGUCCUGGCCUUUGUUUAUGCGGCUCCAGAUGCCUUCAGUUGGGACUUUCUGUAACAGGACCAUCUUAUCACAAAACUGAUAAGCCUCGCCUGUACUGGAGGUAAGCCAAGAAAUGUGGAUGCCUGCUAAGUCACUUAAGUUGUGUCCGACUCUAUGUGACCCUAUGGACCAUAGCCCACCAGGCUCCUCUGUCCAUGGGAUUCUCCAGGCAAGAAUACUGGAGUGGGUUGCUGAAGCCAAGAAACACCUGGUGAGAAAAGAAGUGUUAGGCUCCACUCCUCUCUUAUUCUCCUCUCCUCCCUUCUUUCCUUUCUUGAUUAGUCUACCACAUCAUGCCAAUACAAUCCAUGCUUUUUUGUUUUUUAAGUUGGAAAUUUUCACUGAAUUGCUGAGACAAAUGGCUUGUCCUUUGGUCAUUCCAACUCUGGGGCAACUUACUGCAAAAAUCAAAAAAGGGACUCCAACGUCACAGAGCAACAAAAGAAUACAGUGGCCACCUUUGCUUUUGAAAUUGGUGGAGCGGGAGUCUACCAUGAACGAAAGCAAGUCUCGGUGA